GGUGGCGAACGGGUGAGUAACACGUGGGUGAUCUGCCCUGCACUCUGGGAUAAGCCUGGGAAACUGGGUCUAAUACCGGAUAGGACCAUGCUUUAGUGUGUGUGGUGGAAAGUUUUUCGGUGUAGGAUGAGCCCGCGGCCUAUCAGCUUGUUGGUGGGGUAAUGGCCUACCAAGGCGGCGACGGGUAGCCGGACUGAGAGGUUGGUCGGCCACAUUGGGACUGAGAUACGGCCCAG
rnacentral:rRNA from 1 species